UAGACACCUUGUAUUAAGAACAUAAACAAAGAUAAACUGAACAUACCCUUUGGAAUGAAAAUGUGAAUUUGGUCGCAAAAAGGACAUUUAUUAAUCUUCUCAUCAAAAGCAUAGACGACAAUGUUAUACGUUCUUGUGCUAUUUACAGUAACUUAAAAGAUUCAUCUCGCCCAAAAAUGGAAUUAAAUCGUAAACAUUUUCCUGCGAUUAUUUUUGCAACAUUCGACGUGUAUUAACUCAACAACAGUGCAUCGAUAAACUUAAUUCAAUUUUUGGUGAUGAAAUGGUGAAUUCAAUCGAGGUCGUAGUUCAAUCCAAGACGAAUUCGUGAAUGUCGUUUAAAAUCAGUUGUUCCAAAAACCAUUGAUGCUGUGCACCAACUGAUAUUGCAAGAUCGUCAUGUUACCUACCGUGAGAUUGAGACAUCCUUAGGCAUUAGUGGGACCAGCAUACAUUCAAUAUUGCAUGAACAUUUGAUCGUUCAAAUUUGUUCACAAAAUUUGUCAAUCGCUCAAAAAGGCUCGUGUCCAUUGGUCGAAAUAAAUGUUAAAAAAAUACAAAAGCAGUGCUUCAAAAUAGGUCUAUGACAUCGUGACAGGUGAUGAAUCGUGGAUUUAUUGGUAUGAGCCCGAAAGUAAACAGCAGUGUUGUUGUUAUUUUUGCUCGCGCACAAAGCACUUCUAAGCAAAUGAUCGCCAACGCAGAACAAUCAAUUCUGAGUGGUACACAACCAUUUGUUUGCCAGUUGUCUUCCAAUAAAUCAGGAAAACCAACCGAAGAUGGAUCACUCUUCAUCACGACAAUGCUGACAUUCACUCAUUGGCUCAAACAACUGCAUUUUUGAGCACUCAAAACAUGGAUUUGAUGAUUCAUGCGCCGUUUAGUCCUGACUUGGCACCGAAUGACUUGUUUUUAUUCCCGUAC
rnacentral:sRNA from 1 species